UGACCCUCUGAUGAGCAGGGGGGAGGCUGGGAGGCUGAGAGUACUAAUGUAAUACGCUGAACUAAAACAGACCGUUAACGACACAGCUGGUUUAACAGCAAAGGAGGGAGCAGAAGAAGAAGCUUUUCAUUAACAAUAACCCCUUCUAAUUCUGAGGAAUGCCCUGAUUGGUUUCCUUAACUUCUUCCCCCUGUCUCCCAGAGAGAAAAAGAUACACAGAGAGAGACACACACAGAGACACAGAAACAGCUACGUCAUCGAAACCUGGCUACGGAAUCUUCUCCUGCAUCUAAUCAGAAUGCAUAAAUGCAGCUGCCUACAACACAGUCUCUCUUGGAAUUCAUGAAGGCUCUCAUUUAUUAGGGAUUUUCUACGCGUUCUGAGCUGAGCGGGGGGCUCGGCUGAAAUGGAGGGUGUCCUACUUAACCCCGCACGCUGUUUGGACUCACAUUGUAAUCCCAGACGAGGAAACAGCAGUAGGACUAGAGAGAGCUCCCAUUCUGCACCUGAGAAUCCAUUCACACUGCAGGAGCCUAGUUGACAGAGGACAUCAUUCUUGGGGACUUUUAUCUACGUGAAGGGAGAGACGAGCGAAGACACGCCGAGCUGUAAAAAUGAGUGAAUGUAGCCAUAAUGGUCUGUGUUUAAUCUGGGCUGAUAGGAGAGAAAGAGAGGCAGUGAUGGAGAAAAGGCAUUAGAUGUCCAGUGUUCCAGUGUUCUAGUGGACACAUAGCCAGGACACAUAGCCAUUAGUGGACACAUAGCCAGGACACAUAGCCAUUAGUGGACACAUAGCCAGGACACGUAGCCAUUAGUGGACACAUAGCCAGGACACGUAGCCAUUAGUGGACACAUAGCCAGGACACGUAGCCAUUAGUGGACACAUAGCCAGGACACGUAGCCAUUAGUGGACACAUAGCCAGGACACAUAGCCAUUAGUGGACACAUAGCCAGGACACAUAGCCAUUAGUGGACACAUAGCCAGGACACAUAGCCAUUAGUGGACACAUAGCCAGGACACAUAGCCAUUAGUGGACACAUAGCCAGGACACAUAGCCAUUAGUGGACACAUAGCCAGGACACAUAGCCAUUAGUGGACACAUAGCCAGGACACAUAGCCAUUAGUGGACACAUAGCCAGGACACAUAGCCAUUAGUGGACACAUAGCCAGGACACAUAGCCAUUAGUGGACACAUAGCCAGGACACAUAGCCAUUAGUAGACACAUAGCCAGGACACAUAGCCAGGACACAUAGCCAUUCGUGGACACAUAGCCAGGACACAUAGCCAUUACUGGACACAUAGCCAGGACACAUAGCCAUUAGUGGACACAUAGCCAGGACACAUAGCCAUUAGUGGACACAUAGCCAGGACACAUAGCCAUUAGUGGACACAUAGCCAGGACACAUAGCCAUUAGUAGACACAUAGCCAGGACACAUAGCCAGGACACAUAGCCAUUCGUGGACACAUAGCCAGGACACAUAGCCAUUACUGGACACAUAGCCAGGACACAUAGCCAUUAGUGGACACAUAGCCAGGACACAUAGCCAUUAGUAGACACAUAGCCAGGACACAUAGCCAGGACACAUAGUCAUUAGUGGACACAUAGCCAGGACACAUAGCCAUUAGUGGACACAUAGCCAGGACACAUAGCCAUUAGUGGACACAUAGCCAGGACACGUAGCCAUUAGUGGACACAUAGCCAGGACACAUAGCCAGGACACAUAGCCAUUAGUAGACACAUGGCCAGGACACAUAGCCAUUAGUGGACACAUAGCCAGGACACAUAGCCAUAAGUGGACACAUAGCCAGGACACAUAGCCAUUAGUGGACACAUAGCCAGGACACAUAGCCAUAAGUGGACACAUAGCCAGGACACAUAGCCAUUAGUGGACACAUAGCCAGGACACAUAGCCAUAAGUGGACACAUAGCCAGGACACAUAGCCAGGACACAUAGCCAUAAGUAGACACAUAGCCAGGACACAUAGCCAUUAGUGGACACAUAGCCAGGACACAUAGCCAUUAGUGGACACAUAGCUGUCAUGUCCUGACCAGUAAAAGGGGUUAUUUGUUAUUGUAGUUUGGUCAGGGCAUGUCAGGGGGUGUUUGUUUUGUGUGUUUCGGGGUUUUUGGUUUAUGUUCUAUGUAAUCUAUUUCUAUGUGUUUAUCUAGCUUUUCUAUUGCUAUGUUAGUUUUGUCAAUGACCUCCAAUUAGAGGCAGCUGGUUGUUGUUGUCUCUAAUUGGAGGCCAUAUUUAGUUGGGUUUGUUUUCACUUGUGUUUGUGGGUGGUUGUUUCCUGUAUAGUCUGUGCACCUUACGGGACUGUUUUCGUCGUUUGUUUUGUUUAAGUGUUUUUCCUUCAAUAAAUAAUAAGAUGAUCAAUAUACCCGCUGCAUUUUGGUCCACUCCUUACGACGACCGUUACAAUAGCCAGGACACAUAGCCAUUAGUGGACACAGCCAGGAAUGAAAACGGAAUAUAGCUCAGUCCUAUGUGACUACUCAUAAGUUCUCACUUUCAGUAAUGACUGUUUAUUCAUCAUUUAAAACUCUAAUUGGAAGAAACGAUCCAAAUGCAAUAUGAGUUGUGUGUGACUGACUCUGUGAGUGCAUUAAAGACUGGUAGAGAUUGUUCUCUAAAGGAGACUUCUUGCAAUUAGCUUUUAAUUAUGCGAAACCGUCUGUGAUUUCUUGUUUUAGUUACAGAUUGCCACAAUGCUCAAACAACGCUUAAUUAGUCAGUCGUUGAUUAGCAAGGUUAGUUCCUGGGUUCCCAUGGCAACAGGGGGAGGAAAGUAGCACUUUUCUAAGUCAUGCUGCGAAAGGUCCCCCAAUACUCAGACCGACCUGUAGACUGCAGCCUUCCUGUUAAUGUCUGCUACUGUUACAUCACUAUCAUCUAGCUACCUGCUCUUCAGUCUGAAGAGGCUUGGGGUUGGGUCUCUACUUGAAGAGCAUCUCUACAGACUAACACAUAGAGAUGUAGAUUUCAGUUGAACUCCACUGUGAAAUCUAUGGUCGUUUCAAAAGCCAUAUUGAUGCUUA
rnacentral:lncRNA from 8 species